rnacentral:rRNA from 1 species
UACAGAGGCUGCAAGCGUUAUCCGGAUUUAUUGGGCGUAAAGCGUCCUGAGGUGGCCUGCCAAGUCUUCUGUAAAAGAGUAGGGCUCAACCCUAGAGAUGCGGUGGAAACUAGCAGGCUGGAGUAUGGUAGAGGCAGAGGGAAUUCCCGGUGUAGCGGUGAAAUGCAUAGAUAUCGGGAAGAACACCAAUGGCGAAAGCACUCUGCUGGGCCAAUACUGACACUGAAAGACGAAAGCUAGGGGAGCAAAAGGG